rnacentral:misc_RNA from 1 species
GAUGAAGAACGUAGCGAAAUGCGAUAAGUAAUGUGAAUUGCAGAAUUCAGUGAAUCAUCGAAUCUUUGAACGCACAUUGCGCCCGCCAGUAUUCUGGCGGGCAUGCCUGUUCGAGCGUCAUUUCAACCAUCAAGCCCCCGGCUUGUGUUGGGGACCUGCGGCUGCCGCAGGCCCUGAAAAGCAGUGGCGGGCUCGCUGUCACACCGAGCGUAGUAGCAUACAUCUCGCUCUGGGCGUGCUGCGGGUUCCGGCCGUUAAACCACCUUCAUAACCCAAGGUUGACCGCGGAUCAGGUAGGAAGACCCGCUGAACUUAAGCAUAUCAAUAAGCGGAGGA